AUUGAACGCUGGCGGCAGGCCUAACACAUGCAAGUCGAACGAGUGGCGGACGGGUGAGUAAUGUCUGGGAAACUGCCCGAUGGAGGGGGAUAACUACUGGAAACGGUAGCUAAUACCGCAUACCAUCUGAUGUGCCCAGAUGGGAUUAGCUAGUAGGUGGGGUAACGGCUCUCCUAGGCGACGAUCCCUAGCUGUUCUGAGAGGCUGACCGGCCACACUGGAACUGAGACACGGUCCAGAGUCCUACGGGAGGGAACAGGGGGGAAUAGUGCACAAUGGGGGAAAGCCUGAUGCAGACAUGCCGCGUGUAUGAAGAAGGCCUUCGGGUUCUAAAGUACUUUCAGCGAGGAGGCGUUACUCGCAGAAGAAGCACCGACUAACUCCGUGCCAGCAGCCGCGGUAAUAC
rnacentral:rRNA from 1 species